AAAUAUGUGACGGUAAACAACGUUCUCCGCUAACAAGCUCACAUUACAUUGAUUUACUACGGUUUUAUUGGCCCCAUUUUGCUGUAUAAUAUGCUCGCAUAUAUGAGUAAGAGCUGUCAUUUGUGUGAGGAACGGGACAGAGACCGCUCUACAGUCUCGUCCUACAUCAGCUUGACACGGACUUCAACAUAGACAGAUGUGUUGCCAAGAGGAAGUGUUUUGCCCCUGUGGCGCUGUACAAGCCUUUGCGGAGCAGGAUGCCUGGGUGAGGAGUAUAUCCCAGUUCCAGGCUCACCAGAACGGGGGGAGGGAGCUGGCCAGUCUUAGGGAGUUGGGGCUCUCAGACCUGGAGAUAGAACUGUGGUUCCCCAGAGACCAGCCUUAAAACACUGAGAUGGGUCAUGGGGUGGGUGUGUGUGCCCCCGGGGUGCGGCAGCAGCGUCUGCAGGUGAUCCAGGACGAGAUGGCGGCUCGGGCAGAGCUCCACAUUGCUUCUCAGCCAGCUGACCCCUGUCCCGCAGAGAGAUGGUCGAGUAGGCUCUGUUCCAUGGUAAUGACCACCCGGGCUUCCUCACUGCACUCUAUCACCAAGGUGGGGUGAUGUUAUACAAUGCUAAGUGUCUGGUCGUUCACACUGCAACUUCCAUAGACCAAGAGGUUAGAAAGCCUGAACGAGUUAUAACGAAAAGGAGUUUUGGAGGAGUUUGAACAAGUCCUAUGUGUGUUAGAAGAGUCUUUGAAAAGACACAAGGAUAGGAGUUGGGUGCUUGGCUUGAAUUGGAAAAUAUAAUAUUUUAAGAUGUUUUAUUAUUAAUGACCUUGGCAUCACUGUGUAUUUUGUGUGUAUGUUGAAUGUUUUGUGUUAUUGGUGACUGUCAUGUAUUGAAAAAAUAAAGUAAAAUGUUUAAAAGAAAUAAAGGAAUUCAGCUGUC